ensembl:snRNA U1 U1 spliceosomal RNA
GACCUAACGUUGUAGUGUAGACCAGUCCUGAAUGAUAAGGAGAAAGCUGAGAAUUUGAAACAGACUGAGAGGUAAUAGUAUUAAUAAAGCAAGUUAGAUAUGAAUUUGCUGACUCCUGUGAUUUCCCCAAAUGUGGAAAACUUGACUGCAUAGUUUGUGGUAGUAGGGGACUGCGUUCAUACUUCCUCCCA